rnacentral:rRNA from 1 species
CCUACGGGAGGCAGCAGUAGGGAAUCUUCCGCAAUGGACGAAAGUCUGACGGAGCAACGCCGCGUGAACGAUGAAGGCCUUCGGGUCGUAAAGUUCUGUUGUCAGGGAAGAACAAGUACCGGAGUAACUGCCGGUACCUUGACGGUACCUGACCAGAAAGCCACGGCUAACUACGUGCCAGCAGCCGCGGUAAUACGUAGGUGGCAAGCGUUGUCCGGAAUUAUUGGGCGUAAAGCGCGCGCAGGCGGUCCUUUAAGUCUGAUGUGAAAGCCCACGGCUCAACCGUGGAGGGUCAUUGGAAACUGGGGGACUUGAGUGCAGAAGAGGAAAGCGGAAUUCCACGUGUAGCGGUGAAAUGCGUAGAGAUGUGGAGGAACACCAGUGGCGAAGGCGGCUUUCUGGUCUGUAACUGACGCUGAGGCGCGAAAGCGUGGGGAGCAAACAGGAUUAGAUACCCUGGUAGUCCACGCCGUAAACGAUGAGUGCUAAGUGUUAGAGGGUUUCCGCCCUUUAGUGCUGCAGCUAACGCAUUAAGCACUCCGCCUGGGGAGUACGGUCGCAAGACUGAAACUCAAAGGAAUUGACGG